UUGAACGCUGGCGGCAGGCUUAACACAUGCAAGUCGAACGGUAGCAGGGAGAAAGCUUGCUUUCUUUGCUGACGAGUGGCGGACGGGUGAGUAAUGCUUGGGAAUCUGGCUUAUGGAGGGGGAUAACGACGGGAAACUGUCGCUAAUACCGCGUAGAGUCGAGAGACGAAAGACCGGGACCGCAAGGCCGGUUGCCAUAAGAUGAGCCCAAGUGGGAUUAGGUAGUUGGUGGGGUAAAGGCCUACCAAGCCUGCGAUCUCUAGCUGGUCUGAGAGGAUGGCCAGCCACACUGGAACUGAGACACGGUCCAGACUCCUACGGGAGGCAGCAGUGGGGAAUAUUGCGCAAUGGGGGCAACCCUGACGCAGCCAUGCCGCGUGAAUGAAGAAGGCCUUCGGGUUGUAAAGUUCUUUCGGUGAUGAGGAAGGCGGUUAGUUUAAUAGGCUAAUCGAUUGACGUUAAUCACAGAAGAAGCACCGGCUAACUCCGUGCCAGCCGCCGCGGUAAU
rnacentral:rRNA from 1 species